rnacentral:misc_RNA from 1 species
UCUCCGUAGGUGAACCUGCGGAGGGAUCAUUACAGAGUUUUUGCCCGCAAGGGUAGAUCUCCCACCCUAUGUUAUUCCUUCUCUGUUGCUUUGGCGGGCCGUCCGGCGUCGGUCAGGCCACCGGCUCCGGCUGGUGCGCGCCCGCCAGAGGACCCCAAACCCUAAAUGUCAGUGUCGUCUGAGUACUAUAUAAUAGUUAAAACUUUCAACAACGGAUCUCUUGGUUCUG